GAUUGGGCACGGGGGGCCUACGGGAGGCAGCAGUGGGGAAUAUUGGACAAUGGGCGAAAGCCUGAUCCAGCAAUGCCGCGUGAGUGAUGAAGGCCUUAGGGUUGUAAAGCUCUUUUACCCGGGAUGAUAAUGACAGUACCGGGAGAAUAAGCCCCGGCUAACUCCGUGCCAGCAGCCGCGGUAAUAAU
rnacentral:rRNA from 1 species